UGUCUUUUCAGCAGAGCGCUUUGGGGAAUUGGAUGAUGUGUCGUCUCAACGUGAGAAGCUGUGAGCGACAUCUUCGUGGGAGUAAUGAAUGUACGUGCAGCGCAAACCAGAGAAGAUGCUGAGCAGAAUGUCCCAAAAUCAGCACCUUCAUCCAUCGAGAGGAUCAAAGAGACAAACUCCGGAUGGACAAAGACAGCGUCAUUGUUCCAGUGAAGUUAGAGUAGAACGCGGCUUCUCUCUUCACACGGACCGAACAUCGCUGCAGGCCGUCGCAUCGACGCUUCACAUUAAACGCGCUGAAACCUUUGAUGCUCUGAGCCGACCCCUCUGCC
ensembl:lncRNA